CACGACAAAGGCAAACUCUGAGUGAUCAGGGGGCGCAAAGUAAAGGGUCUUAGACUUACAGGGAAGUAAGAGCAAAUAAAGAUAGCCUUACUGCCGAAG
rnacentral:ncRNA from 1 species